ACGUCAAGUCAUCAUGGCCCUUAUGGGCUGGGCUACACACGUGCUACAAUGGCGGUGACAAUGGGCAGCCACUCAGCGAUGAGGAGCUAAUCCCUAAAAGCCGUCUCAGUUCGGAUUGAGCUCUGCAACUCGAGCUCAUGAAGUCGGAAUCGCUAGUAAUCGCGGAUCAGCAUGCCGCGGUGAAUACGUUCCCGGGCCUU
rnacentral:rRNA from 1 species